ensembl:lncRNA
CAGUUCCAUUUGCGUCACCAUCUUUGUUAUACUUUGGUCAUUGUCGCUAUGGUUACUGGUAAGAAAUUAUGGGCUUGACUUCAGUUGCACGUUCAUACAGACAGUAUUCAAGAAGCUACUGUAAGUUGCUGUGUGAAUGUGACACUUUGAGACUCACACCUGUAAGUAAAUGUGGUUGUCAAUCCCAAAAGCUGACGGUGUGAAAGUAGGAAGACUGUUACUCAUGAUCUGAGUAACACAAAAACUACCCAAACACCGAAAAAUAACCCAAAAAAUUGGUUCUCAUCCCAGCAUUUGGGUAAAAAAGGGGGGGGGGGGGGCCAAGAUUUUUUAGAGUGUAAUCCCUGUUUCAAAAUACAAGAUUAUUGUAAUAUGUAAUGAGAACAUUGGGUUUAAUCUGAAACAUAACGCAACAUUCAGUGUGAAUAGUUCAGUCAAUUGUGAACAAUGCAAGAGGCUACUUGUUUCAAAUUACCCGUGCUGCUGAAAUAGUUACAGUUACACAGGCUACAGAUGAUACAUUAGAAAAUGCACAUUUUAUAACUUACGUAAUUGACAUUUGCUGAAAUGAUUAGCAGUAUGUUAUAAGUGCUCAGCCACUGGUGCAGACCAGCAACUGAAUCAAUCAGAAGAUGGACCAUUUUCUACGUUCACCAUUCAGCUACCCCUUCACUGCAGACAAGCUGAAGGCUAAAUCCUCAACUGGAGUCUUUCUCUGUAUGGAUCUCAGUAUUUUUGGACAGAAUUUAGGAUAUUGUUGGGAUCUCCACUGAAGGACUGAGUACAUUUGUGUUUGUAGACACGCAUACAGACCAGGGAACAUUCUGAUGUUGUCAGUCAUGUUCUGAUCAGGAGCCAGUCUUCGGAGAAGUUCAUUUAUUCCCGAAGGUGGACAAAAACAUUGUGUAGGCUUUUAAAAGGCUAUUUUGAUAAUGACUUUUACUCUUAUGCUGCGGAAAAGAUGGAGGAGUACAGACAUUGAUAAUAAGAAAUGUUUUUUAAACAUUAAAGAGACUUCUUUCAGAACACUUUGGCCACCAGUGUACAUCAAAAGUGAAAAGAUUA